GAUGAAGAACGCAGCGAAAUGCGAUAAGUAGUGUGAAUUGCAGAAUUCAGUGAAUCAUCGAAUCUUUGAACGCACAUUGCGCCCCUUGGUAUUCCAUGGGGCAUGCCUGUUCGAGCGUCAUUUGUACCCUCAAGCUUUGCUUGGUGUUGGGCGUCUUGUCUUGUAUUAGACUCGCCUUAAAGUCAUUGGCAGCCAGUGUUUUUGGUAGUAAGUGCAGCACAUUUUGCGUCUUAGUCCUUGAAUCGUGGCAUCCAUGAAGCCUUUUUUCACUUUUGACCUCGGAUCAGGUAGGGAUACCCGCUGAACUUAAGCAUAUCAAUAAGCGGAGGA
rnacentral:misc_RNA from 1 species